UAAAAUAAAAUAUGAACCUUUGUGGGACGACAAAGGUAUUUUAGUAUUUGCUCAAACCACUAAAGUCCAAUUUCUCCAACUCUGACUGGUCUGGUCUACAGGGAUCCACAGGGAUCCAAUCUCCCUAAAAGUUGCGCGAGAGUAUUUUAUUAAAGUUGCUUUUGUACUUGAUUGAUGUUGGCGUGAUGAUACUUAUCUCAGAUCUGCACGCAGUCUUCUUCUUCUGCUUCAUUCAACUCCUCUUUCUCAACAUUGAUUUGUUUCUCUACAAUGUUUUGCUCUAAUCCCAAUUGAUAAUUAAACCCGAUUCCCUUUUCACAAUCAUCUGUUAUCGAUAUGGAAUCGGAGCUGAAAGACCUCCACUGUCAAGCCGACACGUCGCACUCCUCUGGUACGACACCAGAGGACGCCUCCGCCAAGGACGACCAUCCGUUGCUCAAACCCGAAUCCAACCCCGCCUCUCAAAACAACAUCGAGGAGCUCCACAAGAAAUUNNNNN
rnacentral:lncRNA from 1 species